UCUCCGGGGUUAGAAUCUUGCUGUGAACGUGAUGGUGCCGACUCAAACUCUGGACUAGCUUCAGCAGCGGUACGCGGUGAGAAUGGAGAGCCGGAGCCAUGCGGCUCAGUGACACACUGUGGUGCACGUGAACACUUCCCAGCAAGCUACAGCGAGUACAGAAAACGGCUGGUGGAUCAAUGCAAAGUGCCUCCUCUCACACAAUCAUCAUCAUAGCUGCAGGCAACUGGAAAUAUGAUAGCCUUCAACGGAAUGUUGCAGCCAGCCAGCCAGCAAGCAAGCAAACGUUUCAAGUCAGGUCCAGCUGAUUUUGCUGGAAUACUACUGGACUGUGGAUCGAAUUUCUGCAAUUUCUAACAUUUUUGCACAAGAUGAAGAUCUUGCCAUUUUUGAAACUUUUUCUCCUGUGCCAAAUCAGUAUCGACUCUAUCCGCAAGCUACCCACCACCACCUCACAGUCCCCAUUGCCCUCUAUUGCCAUACUCAUUAUGAUGCCAUUGCCCAACUCCACUUCAAGGGUGACAUAACCACCAAAUUUUACGUCAGUGUGCUCCGUCAAAAUUGAUACGAUUUCUCCCACGCUCCCCCAAUAACCGCGUACCCUAUCAGGUUUCACUACAACCCACUGGCUCACUCCUAUUCCUUCAUAGCUAACUACCCAGCCUUUAUCAUCAUAAAACCAUUACACCAGAUCAACUAAUCCAUAAGUAUAGUGGAUAGGAGAUCACCAACCCAAUGUACUUCUACAAUUG